rnacentral:lncRNA from 13 species
GUUGACGCAAAGCACUUUUGCUUUUUAAUUGCAAUUUUUAUUUUCAUUUUGCAAUCCCCUUUGAAAUCAUGACGUUUACAUAGACACAUUGUUUGUUGUAGUCAACUGAGAGCCGUAUCAUUUGGCUGAGUUGUGGCGUGUACGUUGUAGUCUAUGUAGUUAAUUAUUUUACCGCAUUCAACAGCGGUUCCUAGCAGAGAGAAAGUAACAUUCACGCUGGAGGGCACUCGUAUGCUGGGUUUGAUGCAAUACACACAUCAGAGAUUAUUAGUCUUCAUAAAAUGCUCAAAUUAAUAAUUAGAUGAGGUUAUAACCAACCUCCGAUUUGGAAAAGAGUUGUCUCCAAUACGUUGGCAAUGCGUUAUGUCGUCUAGUCUACUUUAAAAAUUACAAAUAAAAUAAAAAACAGAAGCGGAUCUAAAGCAACGAUUCAGCCUAAGCAGUAACAUGACAUAAGGAACGUUGUUUGGAAUCCAUAACCUUGUUGGCUUUAGAAUAUGAAUAUUAUUGGUCAAAAAAGACUGAACAGAUCAACAGCUUUUAGUGUGAACAUUUUAACGCUUGCUAGUCCUGUAUGUGGAUAGAUUUUUUUCAGCAUUCCCUCAGACGGUGGAUUUUUUUCCAUUGCAGCUCAGUAGAGGGUGUGAGAUCUUUCUAAGAGCACCGGGCAAGAACGAGCACAGUCUCUGUGUAACCUCUUUGUGAUUCAAAAUUACCAAAGAAAAGCACUGGAAACAAACGCAAGGAAACACCGAAAGGUGUGAGGAAUGCGUUUAUUUUUUUUCAGUGGCAGUGUGAUCAGCACUAAAUACCCAGCGUCGGUGUGAAUUCAGCACCGAGGGGGAAAGAACAGCACCCACUGCUACCGCUGCACUACGAGAAAAUCACGGAUUUAUAAAAUUUGCAAGGUGUGAAAGCACAGGUGAGAUUUAUGUGGAGCAAAACCUAAGAAAUCUGCAUGGUUCCUUGGUGACAACCUCUGUGGUGUGUGCUGGGACCCCGAGGGGACUUCAGAAUCUGCUGGAGGCUGCAAUGUAUUUCUUCUUUGAAAAGCACCUUGGGGAUCAUCUGUUCACUUUCCCAGGUUGCUGUGGCACAUGCUUUAUUAACUCCAAAGUACACGUGCUAUUUCAACUGUUCUGGCUCUGUGCUCUCCGACACCACGUGGCAGUUCUUUCUUUUGUUCCUUUGUUAAACCUUUACAUAGUACAUAAAAAAUAUUAUUGUGUUAAUUUCCUCUAACAAAGAAUAUGGAACAUGUUGAUUUGUGUGAUUGUAUUUGUCUCUUUGAAUAUGCUGCGUAAUUAUGCCCUUAAUGGCUGUUUUGUGUAAAUACAGUAUGUUAAGAUACUGUAUUUAAAUGGGAGUCUUAAUAAAGUCCCUUACUGUGACUGAAUGAAAUAUUGACUGCCUGUGCAUUCAUCCAUCCACAUGUUCACCACGACACCCUGGUGAGUUUAAACGUUGCUUGGCAGUAAGUGCCACAGGCAUGCCGUGUAGG